AUGAACGCUAGCGGCAGGCUUAACACAUGCAAGUCAGGGGCAGCGCGAGUAGCAAUACUUGGCGGCGACCGGCGCAAGGGUGCGUAACGCGUGAGCAACAUGCCCGUAUCAGGGGGAUAAUCCAGGGAAACUUUGGUCUAAUACCCCAUAGUAAUUUUUGUAAGGCAUCUUAUAAGAUUUAAAGCUUUGGUGGAUACGGAUUGGCUCGCGUGACAUUAGCUGGAUGGUAAGGUAACGGCUUACCAUGGCUAUGAUGUCUAGGGGUUCUGAGAGGAAGGUCCCCCACACUGGAACUGAGACACGGUCCAGACUCCUACGGGAGGCAGCAGUGAGGAAUAUUGGACAAUGGAUGGAAAUCUGAUCCAGCCAUGCCGCGUAGAAGGAAGAAGGUCCUAUGGAUUGUAAACUUCUUUUGUAUGGGAGCAAUAAGGCCUACGAGUAGGUUGAUGAGAGUACCAUACGAAUAAGCACCGGCUAACUCCGUGCCAGCCGCCGC
rnacentral:rRNA from 1 species